GUCUCGGUGGCGCAAUUGGUAAGCGUUGACCCUCGCCGCAUUCCCAAUGAAUUGGUUACUAAUAAUCACCUGAAGGUUAGCGCGUACGACUGUUAAUCGUGAGGUUGAGAGUUCGAUCCUCUCCCGGGACG